UCUCAACAAAUAUUUUCUGUGUGAAUACUUGGGCAGCUGUGGUCUCAGCACUAUAAUUAUAGGAGUACACAGAACUACUUCUGAGAGAUCUACAGAAGUUGCAGCUCCUCACAAAUAAGAACUAGUAGCCUGUGGCUUUCACACCUUUUCUGCCUAUACUGUUACUAACUGGAAGGAAUGUGGGUAGAGGAGUCUGCAGAUUGACAAAGGCGAAAGGACUCAAGACUGGAAACACUUCAUUGGAAGAAUAAGAUUAAGAGCAAGGAUGUGACUCUAUUACCGCCACAGCUAUCAUGAGCCACUUUCAGAGACUGUCUGCUGAGCAAUUGCUGCUUCUCCAUACUUGUGUAUUUUAUCCAUCCUCCUUUUUCCCUCUUGCCCAGUUUUUGGGGAUUUUGUUUGUGUAUUUGUUUGGCACAGUGAAUGUAUUGUUGCACAUUUUCGUCCUCUGUGUAAAGUAUUUUUUUACAAAGUCAAAUAAUACAAGGCAUGAGCAGGGUCAGACACAACUGGUUCUCAUAUUCAGGUGCAUAGCAUCUGAGUGAUGUAUGUUGUCAUGUAAAUGUUCUAUCUAAUUUUUCAAAACUUUUUCAAUACUUUUAUAUCUAUUAUAAGAUCAUAGUAUCAACAUUUUUUUAACUAGAAAUUUGUUGAGCAGAUGGUGCAAAAAUAGAACCAAUAUUAUAUUUUUAAUGAAAAUUUCUGACCCUUAUCUUUCAGUUAUAAUGGGCUGAGGGCCUCUCUGUGGCUGUCCUUGAGCGUAAAAAGCCACAAAAACUUACUGUAUCUGCUGUCUUAUGAUAUGAAUUAUUGAAAAUCAUGGUCAUGAUAAGAAUUGGUAAUUAUAAAUAUUACAAGUAUCAUUAUGUGGAAGGGAGAUAUUGCUGGUUUUCUUGAUGUAAAGAGAAUGACUUUUAUUUCCAAAGUGGUUAUAAAAAAAUUAUUUACAACAUCACAUUCAUUAUAAUGUUUCAACAAAGACCUAUGACAAUUAAAAAAAAAAAAAACCUAAGAAGUAUAUAAAUUAACCAAAGAUAAGCCCACUAAAGCUAAGGGGAAAAAAAUCACAAUACUUUGGUGUAAUUUCAAAAGUCUUCAAGAUCAAAGGAAUGGAAAAAUAAGCACAUGAAGGAGAUACUGAACUACUAAUUCUUCUCUCCUUUUUUUUUUUUCUCAAAUCUUUCUGUCAGUUCAGCACUUGAAUUGGAUAGAAGUAUUAGUAUUAACUCACUGUUUAUAUUGGAUUAGAACAUUCCUGACUUUUACAGAGUCCAAGGUAAAUAUUUUAAACAGGCCCUUAUCAGAAUCAAUUUUCUUGAUGGCAUUGUUGUUUGUACAUUUUUCUUCAGCUGGCCAAAAUGCAUUUGAUUACCUCCAAUAAAUCCAGGGAGGAACAAAACAUUCUU
rnacentral:lncRNA from 1 species